AACGAACGCUGGCGGCAUGCCUAACACAUGCAAGUCGAACGAGACCUUCGGGUCUAGUGGCGCACUGGUGCGUAACGCGUUGGAACCUGCCCUUAGGUUCGGAAUAACUCCCCGAAAGGGGUGCUAAUACCGGCUAAUGUCUUCCGUCCAAAGGUUUAUCGCCUUUGGAUGGGCGUGCGUUGGAUUAGCUAGUUGUUAGGGUAAAAGCCUACCAAUGCUACGAUACAUAGCUGGGCUGAGAGGAUGAUCAGCCACACUGGUCGUAGGACACGGCCCAGAAUCCUAGGGGAGGGAGCAGUGGGGAAUAUAGGAAAGUGGGCGAAAGGCAGAUGGAGCAAUGACGGGUGAGUGAUGAAGGUCGUAGGGUAGUAAAGCAAUUUUACACGGGAUGAUAAUGACAGUACCGGGAGAAUAAGCUCCGGCUAACUCCGUG
rnacentral:rRNA from 1 species